AACGCGAAGAACCUUACCGGGGCUUGACAUCCUGCGCUAUCUUAGGAGACUAAGUUUCCCAGCAAUGGGACGCAGAGACAGGUGCUGCAUGGCUGUCGUCAGCUCGUGCCGUGAGGUGUUGGGUUAAGUCCCGCAACGAGCGCAACCCUCAUCCCUAGUUGCCACCGGGUAAUGCCGAGCACUCUAGUGAAACCGCCCCGGAUAACGGGGAGGAAGGUGGGGAUGACGUCAAGUCCUCAUGGCCUUUAUGUCCAGGGCUACACACGUGCUACAAUGGUCGGUACAAACCGUCGCAAAGCCGCAAGGUGGAGCUAAUCGGAAAAAGCCGGCCUCAGUUCGGAUUGGAGUCUGCAACUCGACUCCAUGAAGCUGGAAUCGCUAGUAAUCGCAGAUCAGAACGCUGCGGUGAAUACGUUCCCGGGCCUUGUACACACCGCAUAC
rnacentral:rRNA from 1 species